rnacentral:tRNA from 1 species
GUGGAUGUAGCUCAGUUGGUUAGAGCACCGGAUUGUGGUUCCGGGGGUCGUGGGUUCGAAUCCCAUCUUCCACCCA